GACGAACGCUGGCGGCGUGCUUAACACAUGCAAGUCGAACGAAGUGGCGAACGGGUGAGUAAUACGCGGGUAAACUGCCCUCCUUUCCGGGAUAAGCCUUGGAACCGGGGUCUAAUACCGAAUACAGGGGGACGGGCUCGCGGCCUAUCAGCUUGUUGGUGGGGUGAUGGCCUACCAAGGCGGGGACGGGUAGCCGGCCUGAGAGGGUGACCGGCCACAUUGGGACUGAGAUACGGCCCAGACUCCUACGGGAGGCAGCAGUGGGGAAUAUUGCACAAUGGGCGCAAGCCUGAUGCAGCCAUGCCGCGUGUAUGAAGAAGGCCUUAGGGUUGUAAAGUACUUUCAGCGGGGAGGCGUUACCAACAGAAUAAGCACCGGCUAACUUCGUGCCAGCAGCCGCGGUAAUUC
rnacentral:rRNA from 1 species